CCUGGAUAUGCCUGCUCAUGUCCUCCCACGCCACUGUCUUCUGUGUACACAAGAACCCAUGGCAGCACUUCUUCCCCUCUCCUGCCGCCUCCUUCACAGGCCCCAUUUCAGGCAUAAUACAAAGGAACAGGGCUUCCUGCUUGAAGGUGCUGAUCCAGGGAUCAAAAGGACUGAUGACGUUGCUGUCCUCAAGGAGCUGACACUGCAGCGUUAGUGGACAAAUUCAGAAGACAAAUUCCGAUCAGUGUUCCCUCUUCCAGCACACAUUCACUGAGGUCCUACUGCAUGCUCCAGACAUGGAAGCACGGCAGGGAGUGAAGCAGGCAGAGGUCUCCAUUCUUAUGGGAUGAUAGUCUAGCGGGGGAGACAGAGAAAACAAAAGUAAAACAUAAACAAAGCUAAUUAACCAGAA